rnacentral:rRNA from 1 species
CGCAUCUGUGCAUGCAGCAUAUCAAUAAGCGGAGGAAAAGAAACUAACAAGGAUUCCCCUAGUAACGGCGAGUGAAGCGGGAAGAGCUCAAAUUUGAAAUCUUAAAGGGUUUUCCCUUGACGAAUUGUAGUUUAAAGAAGUGUUUUCUGUUGAGGUUUUGGUAAAAGUUCUUUGGAAUAGGACAUCAUAGAGGGUGAGAAUCCCGUAUUUGACCUUUACUUUCAACUUUGUGAUACACUUUCAAAGAGUCGGAUUGUUUGGGAAUGCAGUCCAAAAUGGGUGGUAAAUUUCAUCUAAAGCUAAAUAUUGGCGAGAGACCGAUAGCGAACAAGUACCGUGAGGGAAAGAUGAAAAGAACUUUGAAAAGAGAGUUAAACAGUACGUGAAAUUGUCAAAAGGGAAGCGUUUGACACCAGUGUUGUUUUUCUGAAAAUCAAUUAAAGAACUGUUUAUGCUAAGCUUGUUUAGACUUUAUCAGCUAACUGUUUAGUUUUGAGCUUUUCUUUAAUGCACUUUUCAGUUAACAAGUCAACAUCAAUUUCUUUUGCUGUAAAAAAGCAUUGAGGAAGGUGGCUUGAGAUUCGUCUUAAGUGUUUAUAGCCUCUUGCCUAUGCAGUCGGAGAGAUUGAGGUCUGCAGCGUAGAUCCUUCGGGGCUAAAUGCAUUUGUGCUAAGUUAUAGCAUUUUAUAGACAACUUGUUGACUAUGAUUUGUCUUGUAGCUUACUCGCUUAUGUUAUUUUACCUACGCUUAGGAUGUUGAUAGUCACAGCGUGUAC